rnacentral:rRNA from 1 species
UACGUAGGUGGCAAGCGUUGUCCGGAUUUAUUGGGUUUAAAGGGUGCGUAGGCGGUCAAAUAAGUCAGUUGUGAAAUACGGCAGCUCAGCUGUCGAGGUGCAAUUGAUACUGUUUGACUUGAGUAUUGUUGAGGUAGGCGGAAUGGACGGUGUAGCGGUGAAAUGCUUAGAGAUCGUCCAGAACACCGAUAGCGAAGGCAGCUUACUAAAGAAUAACUGACGCUGAGGCACGAAAGUGUGGGGAUCAAACAGG